UGGAUAACAGUUUGCUUCUGACUUCAGU
rnacentral:piRNA from 1 species